UACGAACUGCGCAAACGUUAUUCGGAAUCACUGGGCUUACAGGGUGCGUAGGCGGCCUGGCAGGUCAGAUGUGAAAUCCCACAGCUCAACUGUGGAACUGCAUUUGAAACCUUCAGGCUUGAGUGAACUAGAGGCAUACGGAACUUCAGGUGGAGCGGUGAAAUGUGUUGAGAUCUGAAGGAACACCAGAGGCGAAAGCGGUAUGCUGGAGUUUGUCUGACGCUGAGGCACGAAAGCCAGGGGAGCGAACGGG
rnacentral:rRNA from 1 species